rnacentral:miRNA from 1 species
GGCCCAGGAGACGCCAGGCUGGGCUGGGCUGGGCAGGGCAGGGCGGUGAUGGCGGGUG